rnacentral:lncRNA from 1 species
AUAGUCCAAAAAUCUUUAGUUUUGAGUAAUUUUAUUAAAUGUUAGUGUAUGUAAGUGAAGCAGACAUGCAUCUGUGCUAAACAAGUUGCUGGUCUUGAUGCAGCCUCUUCCUCUUCCUGUUGCAGAAUGAACAGCCCUGCAGCUGGCUGCCUGAGAGAGGAGGAAGCUGUGCCAUUUCAGUGGCACCAAUGUCCUUGGACUCACAGCUGUCUGUAUAAAAUACUUAUAUCUAUGCCAUCAAUAAACAGGCCAUGCUGACUGGGGAAUUCUGGGAGUUAUAAUCCAAAAAAUGACAUUCCUGAGCUCUGCAUGAACCACAUUCCUGACAGAAAAGACCUGCGAGAUCAAGACAGAAACUUAGCCCAUCAGCUCAGGCCGUAAGACUGUGAACAUAGAAGGGGGAAUAAUGAGUCAUGUGAAAAGCAAGUGGCUUAUACCAGCAUGGUUACUACAGGGUCAGUGACUUUUAACCAUGCAAAUCUCAAGCCCUCCUAAGGUAUGUUUGUGUGUGUGUGGUUUUUAAAAAAAAGAAAAAAGAAACAAAGCCCUUGUGUUUCUAGAGCAAAAUCUGAAAUAAGGCUGUGUUAAUACAUUUAGAUGGGCCAUUGGGAUCACUGGGGGGAACACCUGGCAGUGAAGCCAGGUACUGAGAAUCAAACACAGUGCCUCCCAGGAGAGAUGCCAGCUGAGAUCAGCCAAAGGAUGUGUGGUUGAUGGAGUUAUGUGUUCUGCCACCUGUACAGCCUUAGACAAGCUGGAUGGUCCCAAAGCACCACCAGAAGAAGGGACUGGCGAACUUCUAGAAAACCCUAAGGUCACCAUAAGUUUGAACCAACAUUGUUAAUUUUGGCUGGAAUCUUACUGGUGUUCAUGUAACAUUUGUGUAAUUCGUUAGAGAUAAUAGCUAAUUGGUAAGAUGUCCUGAGAUAUCUUAAUUACACGGUUGGGUGUGUGACCAGGUACACAAUAGAGACAUGCCCCAAGCAAGUCAAACACACCUGCAAUAGGUUUAUGGCUCCUAUUAAAUAUCCCCAAAAGUGAAAUGUCAAGUCCUCUGGACUGUUCAUCAGGCUGGGCACUGAAAAGUCUGAGGCUGGGAAGAAACCAAAAGUCCUGACUGAUCAUGAAGGGCAGCAUCUAUUCCCAAGCAAGAAGAAUUGCCACCAUAUAGGACUUUACUACAUAGAACAGUGGUCCCCAGCCGUUUUGGAACUGCGGACUGGC